CUUGUUGGGCAUCCCUGUGUACCUGAGGUCUUCUAAGGUGAACAAUCCCAGAUCCUUCAGCUGCUCCCUGUAAGACUUGUGCUCCAGACCCUUCACCACCUUUGUUGCCUUUAUUUGAACAUGCUCCAGGGCCUCCAGAGAUAAAGGGAGAAUGCAUGUGGGUUUUAUCUACCCAGCCAGUUCACUGCAGCUGAAGGAAAGCUGAAGAUCAAAGAGAAGCAGAUAGAAGGUUCUCUCAGCAGAGCAACCUGGUCAUGGAAAGUGGAGAUAAGCUACUCUGCCCAGAAGCCCCAGGAGAAGCUGUGGGCAGAACUUCAGACAGCUGAGUUUGAAGGACUUUUUCAUAGCUGAAGAUGUUAGGGUACUUUUCAACAACUUGUGUAUAAUCCUAGCCUACUGCGUUUUUAGUGACUGAAAUCCUGUUCCCAUGUUGUGAACUUUUCUUUAAGAACCUUUGGAAUUCAAUAUUGCCAUCUGUUUACUGUUGUUAACAGAUCUACCAAGUCUUGUGUUCCUCCACAUGGGAUGCUUCCUUAAACUCACUGAGGCAAGUUGCAGAUAAAUACAGUUCAAGUGCUAAGUGUCAGCCUUUAAUUAACUCAACCUGCAGUUGCAGUGUUAAAGUGGGAUUCAGAGGGUACCCAUAUGCAUGGAGCAGGAAAGCUGGUAGCUGACUUCCUUGGAAAACUGAGCAGCCAUAUGGGGAGUAGAUUGGUAGGUGUCUGGUAUCAUGAAUUGCUACAGGUGUGGGAUGUAUAUGUGUGUGGGAAUAAAUUUUUGCUAGGCUUACAUAGUAUCUGUAGGAUGAAGAUGACUUGGAAGAUAACUUAAGUGCUUUGGGAACUGGAAAAAUCUGCUAGAGGGACUGAGUGCUGCAUUUGUUCAGUUUGGCUUCUGAAGAACUUGGAGGCGGUGAGAGAGCUGGUUUUGUACCCCAUGCGUUAUUGCUGCCAUGCUCACAGAGACUGCUAUUGCUUCACACUGCUCCUUCACAGCUGGGAUUUACAAGAGAAGCACCAUCUUUGGAAAGACAUCAGUAAGAAAGCAAUUCUGCAGGCAAGUGUAUGAUUUAAGAUGUAUGGCAGGCCAUGUCUGUUGCUUGUGCAGCAUAGCAGUAAGAGAGCACUGCUGCCAGUUCCUUUGCUGCAAAAAGUAAGGAGACUGGGAGUCUUGUUGGCACUGGUCCCUCUGUAAAGGUGUAAGAAGAUGCUGCUUUUGCUGCACAGCAGUGAAUGCAGGUAACAAUUUCUGGCUGUUCUCCUGAAUCUUUAUAAACCAUGUCUGAAC
ensembl:lncRNA